rnacentral:rRNA from 1 species
AAGAGAAGAGAGGGUGAAGGGCGAACGCUUUGACUAGUUUAUGUUAUAAACCCUUUGUAUUGUUAUGUGAAUGUAAUGCUCCUUGUGGGCGAUAAUGAAGUACAACUUUCAACAACGGAUCUCUUGGCUCUCGCAUCGAUGAAGAACGCAGCGAAAUGCGAUAAGUAAUGUGAAUUGCAGAAUUCAGUGAAUCAUCGAAUCUUUGAACGCACCUUGCGCCCCUUGGUAUUCCGAGUUUGAGUGUC